UACGAAGGGGGCUAGCGUUGUUCGGAAUUACUGGGCGUAAAGCGCGCGCAGGCGGUCCUUCAAGUCAGAGGUGAAAGCCCAGAGCUCAACUCUGGAAUGGCCUUUGAGACUAGAGGACUUGGGUACGGGAGAGGUGAGUGGAAUUCCGAGUGUAGAGGUGAAAUUCGCAGAUAUCAGGAGGAACACCGGUGGCGAAGGCGGGUCUCUGGGCCGAAACUGACGCUGAGGAGCGAAAGCGUGGGGAGCGAACAGG
rnacentral:rRNA from 1 species